rnacentral:rRNA from 1 species
UAUACAAAGGUACCGAAAUAAGGCUUUAAUUGAGCGCUAAGAGAAUGGAAUUUCAAAAAAAAUCUUUUUUGAAAUUAAUUAAUUAAAGUUAUUUUUAUUUGUGAAGAAACAAUAAUAGAAAUUAAGGACAAGAAGACCCUAAGAAUUUUAGGGAUUAUUCUUAAAGUUAAUAGAAUAAAUCCAUUUAAUUGGGGCGAUUUUAAAAAAUAAUUAACUUUUGGGGAAAAAAAAAGAUCCAUUAAUAGUGAUCAUUUGGUAAAAUACUCUAGGGAUAACAGCGUAAUAAUUUUAGAUAGUUCAUAUAGAAAAAAUAGUUUGCGACCUCGAUGUUGGAUUAGGAUACUAAUUUAAUGAAGAAGUUAAAUUGAGAAGUUUGUUCAACUUUUAAUAUCCUACAUGAUCUGAG